GCUGCAGCCAAGCAUAAACACUCCACGCGGGGUGUGAACCGCACUGGAAUUCUCAAGUAAUGAGGGCCCCCGCAAGGGUGGAGCAUGUGGUUUUUUUAAGCAACGCGAGAAACUCCCCAAUCUCGUCAUCCUUUGACAACUCAAGAGAGAGAGCCUUCCCCUUUGGGGGACAAAGAGACAGGUGGUGCAUGGUUGUCGUCAGCUCGUGUCGUGAAAUGUUGGGUUAAGUCCCGCAACGAGCGCAACCCUUAAGCUUAGUUGCCAUCAUUAAGUUGGGCAAUUUAAGUUGACUGCCGGUGACAAAACGGGGGAAGGUGGGGGAGAAGGCAAAUCAUCAUUCCCCUUAUGAUUUGGGGUACACAAGUGGUACAAUUGACAAUACAAAGGGCAGCGAACCCGCGAGGUCAAGCAAAUCCCAUAAAGUUGUUUUCAGUUCGGAUUGUAGUUUGCAAAUUGACUUCAUGAAGCUGGAAUCGAGUAAUUGUAGAUCAGCAUGGUACGGGAAUACGUUCCCGGGUCUUGUACACACCGCCCGUCACACCACGAGAGUUUGUAACACACCGAAGCGCGGUGGAGUAACCUUUUUAGGAGCUAGCCUUACGAGAUUUGCAGAAGCGGCG
rnacentral:rRNA from 1 species